GACGAACCGUGCGAACGUUAUUCGGAAUCAUUGGGCUUAAAGGGCGCGUAGGCGGCGGCGUAAGUUGGAAGUGAAAUCCCAUCGGCUCAACCGUGGAAUUGCUCCCAGUACUGCGUCGCUCGAGGGGAAUAGGGGUCUGCGGAACUACCGGUGGAGCGGUGAAAUGUGUUGAUAUCGGUGGGAACGCCAGUGGCGAAAGCGGCAGACUGGACCCUUCCUGACGCUGAGUGCGCGAAAGCUAGGGGAGCAAACGGG
rnacentral:rRNA from 1 species